GCGGCCUAUCAGCUUGUUGGUGANCCAAUGGCUCACCAAGGCGACGACGGGUAGCCGGCCUGAGAGGGCGACCGGCCACACUGGGACUGAGACACGGCCCAGACUCCUACGGGAGNCAGCAGUGGGGAAUAUUGGGCAAUGGAGGAAACUCUGACCCANCGACGCCNCGUGCGGGAUGAAGGCCUUCGGGUUGUAAACCGCUUUCAGCAGGGAAGAAGCGAAAGUGACGGUACCUGCCGAAAGAAGCACCGGGCUAACUAUGUGCCAACCAGCCGCGGUAAUACAU
rnacentral:rRNA from 1 species